UACGGGGGGGGGCAAGCGUUGUUCGGAAUUACUGGGCGUAAAGGGCGCGUAGGCGGCCUGCUAAGUCGAACGUGAAAUCCCUGGGCUCAACCCAGGAACUGCGUCCGAUACUGGUUGGCUUGAAUCCGGGAGAGGGAUGUGGAAUUCCAGGUGUAGCGGUGAAAUGCGUAGAUAUCUGGAGGAACACCGGUGGCAGAGGCGCAUCCUGGACCGGUAUUGACGCUGAGGCGCGAAAGCCAGGGGAGCAAACGGG
rnacentral:rRNA from 1 species